rnacentral:rRNA from 1 species
AGUGAACGCUGGCGGUAGGCCUAACACAUGCAAGUCGAACGGCAGCACAGGAGAGCUUGCUCUCUGGGUGGCGAGUGGCGGACGGGUGAGGAAUACAUCGGAAUCUACUCUGUCGUGGGGGAUAACGUAGGGAAACUUACGCUAAUACCGCAUACGACCUACGGGUGAAAGCAGGGGAUCUUCGGACCCUGCGCGAUUGAAUGAGCCGAUGUCGGAUUAGCAAGUUUGCGGGGUAAAGGCCCACCAAGGCGACGAUCCGUAGCUGGUCUGAUAGGAUGAUCAGCCACACUGGAACUGAGACACGGUCCAGACUCCUACGGGAGGCAGCAGUGGGGGAUAUUGGACAAUGGGCGCAAGCCUGAUCCAGCCAUACCGCGUGGGUGAAGAAGGCCUUCGGGUUGUAAAGCCCUUUUGUUGGGAAAGAAAUCCAGCUGGCUAAUACCCGGUUGGGAUGACGGUACCCAAAGAAUAAGCACCGGCUAACUUCGUGCCAGCCGCCGCCGUAA